rnacentral:guide_RNA from 1 species
AAUAAAAAUGCAAUAUACAGUGAAGGGAUAGUAUGAGAUAAUUAU